GUGGUUCCUGUGUCCCGACCACAUACACGCAGUCGCAGUGGCAUUUUCAAACCUAAGGAACGUAAGGAUGGUACGUUUGCUUGGUUGGCUGCUUGUUUGGCUGCUGCUGUUGCGGAUCCAUCUUCUGAGCCUCGCUCAUAUCAGGCUGCCCUGCGCAUUCCACAUUGGCGAGAGGCUAUGGAGCAGGAGUUUCAUGCUCUUCUUCGUAACAAGACAUGGACUCUCGUUCCUCCACCACCACGGGUAAAUGUUAUUGACUCAAAAUGGGUAUUCAAAGUGAAGAAGCAUUCGGAUGGAUCUAUUGAG
rnacentral:rRNA from 1 species